UCGCUCGUUGGACCAAGAAGGAUUUAGCCUCUCCCUGUAAUGGCGUCACCUAUUACCUUGAAGGGGUCACCUGCAACAAUGAUCGCAUAUGCAACGGGGAAACUCUCGGGGAGGGUCUUGGGGUUUGUAUAGAGAGAGAGCAGCUUUUGUGAAUUGGUGGCUUGGACGAUAGAGAGAGAAUGGUCAUUACAGCAACUGCGGUGCCAUGGGCUAGAGAGAUGAGGCUGCUUUCUGCUUCCUUUCAAAAUUCAGGCGAUGGCAGGGGAAAGCAACAAAGUAGGCAGAGAGAUAAGCAAGGAGAAAGAAGGCCAAGGAUGGUAGGGCCGGGAAAUUAAAUUCGAGCAUGAUGGGCGAUGGGGGUCUUCUCUAUUUGUACAAAUAUUUAAGGUUGCUGGAUUUUUUUCCAAGAUUGAGAUCGAUCGUUCUCUCUCUCACGAGAGAUUAAAGGUUG
rnacentral:lncRNA from 1 species